GAUGAACGCUGGCGGCGUGCUUAACACAUGCAAGUCGAACGAUGAACCGGGUGCUUGCACUCGGGGAUUAGUGGCGAACGGGUGAGUAACACGUGAGCAACCUGCCCCUGACUCUGGGAUCAGCGCUGGAAACGGCGUCUAAUACUGGAUAUGUCCCGUCACCGCAUGGUGUGCGGGUGGGAAGAUUUUUCGGUUGGGGAUGGGCUCGCGGCCUAUCAGCUUGUUGGUGAGGUAAUGGCUCACCAAGGCGUCGACGGGUAGCCGGCCUGAGAGGGUGACCGGCCACACUGGGACUGAGACACGGCCCAGACUCCUACGGGAGGCAGCAGUGGGGAAUAUUGCACAAUGGGCGGAAGCCUGAUGCAGCAACGCCGCGUGAGGGAUGACGGCCUUCGGGUUGUAAACCUCUUUUAGCAGGGAAGAAGCGAGAGUGACGGUACCUGCAGAAAAAGCACCGGCUAACUACGUGCCAGCCGCCGCCGUAA
rnacentral:rRNA from 1 species